GUCGAACGAGGGUCCUUCGGGACUCGAGUGGCGAACGGGUGAGUAACACGUAGGGAACCUGCCCGUGCGACCGGGAGAACUUUCGGAAACGGAAGCUGAUACCGGAUAGGGACAGAGACGGCAUCGACUCUGUGUUAAAGGAGCUGAAAGGCUCCGCGCACGGAUGGACCUGCGGUGCAUUAGCUGGUUGGUGAGGUAACGGCCCACCAAGGCGACGAUGCAUAGCCGGCCUGAGAGGGCGGACGGCCACACUGGGACUGAGACACGGCCCAGACUCCUACGGGAGGCAGCAGUAGGGAAUUUUCGUCAAUGGGCGCAAGCCUGAACGAGCAAUGCCGCGUGAACGAGGAAGGUCUUCGGAUCGUAAAGUUCUGUUGAAGGGGAAAAAGAGCGGAGAGAGGAAAUGGUCUCCGAUUGAUAUUACCCUUCGAGGAAGUCACGGCUAACUACGUGCCAGCAGCCGCGGUAAUACGUAGGUGGCGAGCGUUAUCCGGAAUGAUUGGGCGUAAAGGGUGCGUAGGCGGCCUGCUAAGUCUGGAGUGAAAGGUACCGGCUCAACCGGUACAGGCUCUGGAAACUGGCGGGCUAGAGAGCAGGAGAGGGCGGUGGAACUCCAUGUGUAGCGGUAAAAUGCGUAGAUAUAUGGAAGAACACCAGUGGCGAAGGCGGCCGCCUGGCCUGUUACUGACGCUGAGGCACGAAAGCGUGGGGAGCAAAUAGGAUUAGAUACCCUAGUAGUCCACGCCGUAAACGAUGAGGACCAAGUGUUGGGGAAGACCCAGUGCUGCAGUUAACGCAGUGAGUCCUCCGCCUGGGGAGUAUGCACGCAAGUGUGAAACUCA
rnacentral:rRNA from 1 species